rnacentral:rRNA from 1 species
CCUACGGGUGGCAGCAGUGGGGGAUAUUGCACAAUGGGGGGAACCCUGAUGCAGCGACGCCGCGUGGGUGAAGAAGCGCCUCGGCGCGUAAAGCCCUGUCAGCAGGGAAGAAAAUGACGGUACCUGAAGACGAAGCCCCGGCUAACUACGUGCCAGCAGCCGCGGUAAGACGGCGGGUGCACGCGUUAGCCGGAUGUACUGGGUGUAAAGGGGACGCAUCCGGCGAUGCAAGCCAGGAGUGAAAGCCCGGGGCCCAACCCCGGGACUGCUCUUGGAACUGCGUGGCUGGAGUGCAGGAGGGGCAGGCGGAAUUCCUGGUGUAGCGGUGAAAUGCGUAGAUAUCAGGAGGAACACCGGUGGCGAAGGCGGCCUGCUGGACUGCAACUGACGUUGAGGCGCGAAAGCGUGGGGAGCAAACAGGAUUAGAUACCCUUGUAGUC